rnacentral:tRNA from 2 species
GAGAGAGGUGAUACACAAUAAGAACUGCUAAUUCCUAGACCUGAGACUAAUCAUCUCAGCUCCCUCA